rnacentral:tRNA from 1 species
GCGGCGUUGGUGUAAUGUUAGCAUACAGGCCUUCCAAGCCCUUGGUGAGAGUUAGAAUCUCUUACGCCGCUC